rnacentral:lncRNA from 1 species
ACAUUUGAGGGGUAUAGUAAUAUACACGCCAAGAGGACACACAUGCAAAUAUCCACGUGCCAUGCCCAAUACAGGUCCCUUUCCAACAAAGCAGUUUUGAGCAAUGUAAGAACAACAUGCCUUUUUAUUAGAGACCUCCAGCAGUUUAGGCUUGUAAAUCUGCACAUAUUUUAGAUUUGUUAACUCUAAACUGCAGGCCAGUGUGAUUAUUUGAAUAUGUCCAUGUCAUCCUGUCAUUUCAUGUUAAUCUUCCCUUGAACUGUAAUCACAAUCUUGGCAGUCAGUCCAAUGGGGUGGCAGAGACUUAGGGUCAGGGCAGACAGAGAGGAAGGUUGUGGAUCUGGGGCUCCCUGUCAGUCUAAGACCCCCUUAAGUAAGUUUCCUAAUGCCAUCAGCUGCUGUGUCCAGAGAGAAAAAUCUCUCAAAGCCUGCAAAAAUGACAAUAAUGACCUGCAUUUGGGGUAGAUUCUUGUCUGUGGCUACUAUUAUUCUGUCAUCAGUACUCUACUAGUUAGGAUGCACAGGAAGUGUCCCCAUUUGACAGAAGACCAGAGAAGCUGCUGUGACAGAGUUGGGUCUAGAACCUUGUUUCCUGCUUUUUACUCUGCUUCUCAUUCACUAGACCCCAUGACCAGUGAGUGCAACCUCACCACAACCAUUGAUGCUGAAUAGGAACCUGCAAAUCCAAUGGCACUGCCAGAAUCAACUGAAUGGCUCUGAGAAGGCAGCCCUCAGAAAUCUGGGAAAUUCUCUCCUAUGGAUGAUCACAGGUUCUGGGAUGCAGAGCAAACAGGGAGCUAAUGGAAGCACUCAGGAUGAUAGAAUUCUAACUUCAUGAAAACAUGUUUGAUUGUGGGUCCCAGUAAAGAUGUCCCAGUUCUCGGCCAGAAUCUUUUCUGAAGACUGAGCUGGAGGAGGUACCCGUUCUGGAAUGGUCUCAAAUGCAACCUGCAGGUUUGGCCCCCUGGAGGAAGUGAGAAGAAUGGAGAUGAACACGUUUCUUGUGUCAUGUCCUCAUUCUGCCCAAGACACACCUACCCGGACCAUGCCGUCUUGACUCCCGGUGAUGAUGAUCUGGCUUGUGUCCCAUGCUGGGCCCUCCAUCAGGCAGCAGCAGGUUAUGGCUCCUUCUGGGCCCCAGGCUGUGGUGAUGCUGGCCAGGGGCUGUCCAUUGACAUUCCACAGGGACAAGUGUGCUCCCGCACAGGAGACAAUGGUGCCCUGUGCAGUGAGAGCUGGCAUCACUCUAAGCUGGAGUCACUGCCUGCCCAUCAGCCACUUGCUCAGCUACCCAGUUGGUACACCCAAGUACUCUCAAUCUGUCAUGCUCUGAAGACCCCCAAGGUACCCCAAAACUUCUUUCCAGCUGACUUACAGGUCUGCUGUGUUUUCACACAGUUGUAAAUUCUUGGUUCUUUUCAUACUGCAGUCAUGUGCUUAGAUACUUCUUUCCUGGCAGAAGGCAC